rnacentral:lncRNA from 1 species
ACGGACUCUGUUCAUCAUCUCCUCCACCUUGUUUCCGCACAUCAUUGUUUGUUUUUGUGCAUGAACGUUGAACCAUCAGGUUUGGUUUUCAUUGAUCUCUGGUUUAAUUGUGGAUUUGUUGUUAUUGUUGAAUCAUUUUCUUCUCCUUGGCUUUACUGAAGAGUAUUUUGGCUCUGUUUUAACUCCACUGUAUGCUCCUCUGUUUUUG